GCGGAGCGGUGCCGGUGGGGCGGGCGCGGAGGGGGGGGCAGGGCCCGCGGCGGCCGUGACUCAUCCCCGGCUUCCUCCGCCGAUCUGGGUCAGGGGUGCGCGGCCGGUUUCAUGCCACCGACCGCACCUCCGAGGGGGCCCCGAUAGGAUCCUUCCCGGCGGAGGUGGCGAAGGGACGUUAACCCUUGUGCUGCCGGCUGCUCGGGCUCUAGGCGGUGCGGGAAUACCGGCACCCACCUGGCCAAGCCGAUGCUUGGGAACGGGAACAAAGACAUUCACGUGUUAACUUUUCCCCACGAGACUCCCCCAACGACAAAAAUACAGCUUCUGAACUGCCAGCUUGCAACCUACCUUCACAUAAGCUUCAGGACUUCUUAUUCAGCGUUUUUAGACACCUGCAAGUGAGCUGCCUGUUAGAAAAAUACCUUGGGGUGAAGCAAGUUUGUAAGCAAGGAUGUGUUUCACGUGGAGCUUUGCCACGAGGUGCAUCAUCCACAAGGAGCUGCUUUGGAGGAGAGGCCAGAGCCGGCCCAGACACUGGCUGGAUGAGGCAGGAUGGAGGGAAGGUGAUGACAGCUCCCUUUAUGUCAGAGGCAGCUUUUUUUCCUGAAGGAAGGACUUGCACAUAACCAGGGCAGGAGCCCUCAGGCCCAGUGCAGUCAUCCCCACGGGGCCCCAGCCCCCCUCUGCAGUGCUCCUUUGGUGCACAAGCCACGAAUCUCUGCCCCACAGCCAGAAACAAGACCCGACACCGGGAAAACGAGAGGAAACAAAAGGCAAAGUGAAAUGCCCCCCAGUUCCAUCUCAUUGCAUGAGUUACUGUAUUUACAGCUUGAGGAGCACUGCAGAAGGUAACACGUCCUGCUGGGGAGGGAGGGAAGCACUACAGACACAGAACCAUACAUCCUACAAACCUGACAGAACAUUGAAAGGUUCACUGCAGGGAAACAAUUAAAUACACUUUGCUAAAGACAGACAGUAGAAGAGCACAGAGGGGGUUUAUUUCAUCCUGAUUUCUCCAAGUACAGCCUGAAUUAGCGACACGAUUUCCACUCACCCCUCAGCAUCGGGGUGAGA